AAUCCAUAGGUUAAUGAGGCGAACCGGGGGAACUGAAACAUCUAAGUACCCCGAGGAAAAGAAAUCAACCGAGAUUCCCCCAGUAGCGGCGAGCGAACGGGGAGGAGCCCAGAGCCUGAAUCAGCAUGUGUGUUAGUGGAAGCGUCUGGAAAGGCGCGCGAUACAGGGUGACAGCCCCGUACACAAAAGCGCAUGUGCUGUGAGCUCGAUGAGUAGGGCGGGACACGUGGUAUCCUGUCUGAAUAUGGGGGGACCAUCCUCCAAGGCUAAAUACUCCUGACUGACCGAUAGUGAACCAGUACCGUGAGGGAAAGGCGAAAAGAACCCCGGCGAGGGGAGUGAAAAAGAACCUGAAACCGUGUACGUACAAGCAGUGGGAGCACCCUUCGGGGUGUGACUGCGUACCUUUUGUAUAAUGGGUCAGCGACUUAUAUUCUGUAGCAAGGUUAACCGUAUAGGGGAGCCGUAGGGAAACCGAGUCUUAACCGGGCGUUAAGUUGCAGGGUAUAGACCCGAAACCCGGUGAUCUAGCCAUGGGCAGGUUGAAGGUUGGGUAACACUAACUGGAGGACCGAACCGACUAAUGUUGAAAAAUUAGCGGAUGACCUGUGGCUGGGGGUGAAAGGCCAAUCAAACCGGGAGAUAGCUGGUUCUCCCCGAAAGCUAUUUAGGUAGCGCCUCGUGAAUUCAUCUCCGGGGGUAGAGCACUGUUUCGGCUAGGGGGCCAUCCCGGCUUACCAACCCGAUGCAAACUGCGAAUACCGGAGAAUGUUAUCACGGGAGACACACGGCGGGUGCUAACGUCCGUCGUGAAGAGGGAAACAACCCAGACCGCCAGCUAAGGUCCCAAAGUCAUGGUUAAGUGGGAAACGAUGUGGGAAGGCCCAGACAGCCAGGAUGUUGGCUUAGAAGCAGCCAUCAUUUAAAGAAAGCGUAAUAGCUCACUGGUCGAGUCGGCCUGCGCGGAAGAUGUAACGGGGCUAAACCAUGCACCGAAGCUGCGGCAGCGACACUGUGUGUUGUUGGGUAGGGGAGCGUUCUGUAAGCCUGUGAAGGUGGCCUGUGAGGGUUGCUGGAGGUAUCAGAAGUGCGAAUGCUGACAUAAGUAACGAUAAAGCGGGUGAAAAGCCCGCUCGCCGGAAGACCAAGGGUUCCUGUCCAACGUUAAUCGGGGCAGGGUGAGUCGACCCCUAAGGCGAGGCCGAAAGGCGUAGUCGAUGGGAAACGGGUUAAUAUUCCCGUACUUGGUGUUACUGCGAAGGGGGGACGGAGAAGGCUAUGUUGGCCGGGCGACGGUUGUCCCGGUUUAAGCGUGUAGGUGUGUGUUCCAGGUAAAUCCGGUUCACUUUAACACUGAGGCGUGACGACGAGGCACUACGGUGCUGAAGCAACAAAUGCCCUGCUUCCAGGAAAAGCCUCUAAGCAUCAGGUAACAUCAAAUCGUACCCCAAACCGACACAGGUGGUCAGGUAGAGAAUACCAAGGCGCUUGAGAGAACUCGGGUGAAGGAACUAGGCAAAAUGGUGCCGUAACUUCGGGAGAAGGCACGCUGACACGUAGGUGAAGUGAUUUACUCAUGGAGCUGAAGUCAGUCGAAGAUACCAGCUGGCUGCAACUGUUUAUUAAAAACACAGCACUGUGCAAACACGAAAGUGGACGUAUACGGUGUGACGCCUGCCCGGUGCCGGAAGGUUAAUUGAUGGGGUCAGCGCAAGCGAAGCUCCUGAUCGAAGCCCCGGUAAACGGCGGCCGUAACUAUAACGGUCCUAAGGUAGCGAAAUUCCUUGUCGGGUAAGUUCCGACCUGCACGAAUGGCGUAAUGAUGGCCAGGCUGUCUCCACCCGAGACUCAGUGAAAUUGAACUCGCUGUGAAGAUGCAGUGUACCCGCGGCAAGACGGAAAGACCCCGUGAACCUUUACUAUAGCUUGACACUGAACAUUGAGCCUUGAUGUGUAGGAUAGGUGGGAGGCUUUGAAGUGUGGACGCCAGUCUGCAUGGAGCCGACCUUGAAAUACCACCCUUUAAUGUUUGAUGUUCUAACGUGGACCCGUAAUCCGGGUUGCGGACAGUGUCUGGUGGGUAGUUUGACUGGGGCGGUCUCCUCCUAAAGAGUAACGGAGGAGCACGAAGGUUGGCUAAUCCUGGUCGGACAUCAGGAGGUUAGUGCAAUGGCAUAAGCCAGCUUGACUGCGAGCGUGACGGCGCGAGCAGGUGCGAAAGCAGGUCAUAGUGAUCCGGUGGUUCUGAAUGGAAGGGCCAUCGCUCAACGGAUAAAAGGUACUCCGGGGAUAACAGGCUGAUACCGCCCAAGAGUUCAUAUCGACGGCGGUGUUUGGCACCUCGAUGUCGGCUCAUCACAUCCUGGGGCUGAAGUAGGUCCCAAGGGUAUGGCUGUUCGCCAUUUAAAGUGGUACGCGAGCUGGGUUUAGAACGUCGUGAGACAGUUCGGUCCCUAUCUGCCGUGGGCGCUGGAGAACUGAGGGGGGCUGCUCCUAGUACGAGAGGACCGGAGUGGACGCAUCACUGGUGUUCGGGUUGUCAUGCCAAUGGCACUGCCCGGUAGCUAAAUGCGGAAGAGAUAAGUGCUGAAAGCAUCUAAGCACGAAACUUGCCCCGAGA
rnacentral:rRNA from 1 species